rnacentral:misc_RNA from 1 species
AACACUGUUAACCUGCGGUACCUGCGGAGGGAUCAUUACCGAGUUUACAAACUCCCAACCCUAUGUGAACCUUACCAAUCGUUGCUUCGGCGGGCUUAGCCCCCGCGCCCUCGCCGGCGCCGGGAGAAAGGCGCCCGCCGGGGACCCCAAACCCAAUGUUUUUCAUGCAGUAUUUCUGAGUGGCAAACGCAAAAAUAAAUCAAAACUUUUAGCAACGGAUCUCAGAUCGGAAGAGCACAC